rnacentral:rRNA from 1 species
AGUGAACGUUGGCGGCGUGGAUUAGGCAUGCAAGUCGAGCGAGAACCGUAGCAAUACGGGGACAGCGGCGAAAGGGACAGUAAUGUGUAGGUACCUACCCCGAGGUCUGGGAUAGCUGCGGGAAACUGCAGGUAAUACCGGAUAAUGUCUUCGGACCAAAGGUGUGAUUCCACCUUGGGAGGGGCCUGCAUCCUAUUAGCUUGUUGGCGGGGUAACGGCCCACCAAGGCGACGAUGGGUAGCGGGUGUGAGAGCACGACCCGCGUCAUUGGGACUGAGACCCUGCCCAGACACCUACGGGUGGCUGCAGUCGAGGUUCUUCGGCAAUGGGCGCAAGCCUGACCGAGCGACGCCGCGUGCGGGAUGAAGGCCUUCGGGUUGUAAACCGCUGUCGUAGAGGAGGAAAUGCAGGGGGGUUCUCCCUUCUGUUUGACCUAUUCUAGGAGGAAGGACGGGCUAAGUUCGUGCCAGCCGCCGCCGUAA